UUUCCGUAGGUGAACCUGCGGAAGGAUCAUUCAUAAUAAGUGUUUUAUGGCCCUUUUUUAAAUCCAUAUCCACCUUGUGUGCAAUGUCAGGGUUGAUUUUUCUCUCGUGAGGAACAGCCCCAAACAUCAACUAUAUCUCAACUCUGUGUCUGAAAAAUAUUUUGAAUAAAACAAUCCAAAAUACAACUUUCAACAACGGAUCUCUUGGCUCUC
rnacentral:misc_RNA from 1 species